AGUCGAACGGGAAACAUUUCAUUGAGGCUUCGGCGGAUUUGAUCUGUUUCUAGUGGCGGACGGGUGAGUAGCGCGUGGGUAACCUGCCUUAUACUGGGGGAUAACAGCCAGAAAUGGCUGCUAAUACCGCAUAAGCGCACAGAACCGCAUGGUUCCGUGUGAAAAACUCCGGUGGUAUAAGAUGGACCCGCGUUGGAUUAGCUAGUUGGCAGGGCAGCGGCCUACCAAGGCGACGAUCCAUAGCCGGCCUGAGAGGGUGAACGGCCACAUUGGGACUGAGACACGGCCCAGACUCCUACGGGAGGCAGCAGUGGGGAAUAUUGCACAAUGGGGGAAACCCUGAUGCAGCGACGCCGCGUGAAGGAAGAAGUAUCUCGGUAUGUAAACUUCUAUCAGCAGGGAAGAUAAUGACGGUACCUGACUAAGAAGCCCCGGCUAACUACGUGCCAGCAGCCGCGGUAAUACGUAGGGGGCAAGCGUUAUCCGGAUUUACUGGGUGUAAAGGGAGCGUAGACGGCGCAGCAAGUCUGAUGUGAAAGGCAGGGGCUUAACCCCUGGACUGCAUUGGAAACUGCUGUGCUUGAGUGCCGGAGGGGUAAGCGGAAUUCCUAGUGUAGCGGUGAAAUGCGUAGAUAUUAGGAGGAACACCAGUGGCGAAGGCGGCUUACUGGACGGUAACUG
rnacentral:rRNA from 1 species